rnacentral:rRNA from 1 species
UUGAUUUCACACUGUCAAGAAAAGCUUCUAUCGAGUUUAAAGGCGCCCGUACCGUAAACCGACACAGGUGGGUGAGGAGAGUAUCCUAAGGCCAGCGAGAGAACUAUUGUUAAGGAACUCGGCAAAAUGACCCCGUAACUUAGGGAGAAGGGGUGCCUGUCUAUGACAGGCCGCAGAGAAUAGGCCCAAGCGACUGUUUACCAAAAACACAGGUUUCUGCUAAGUCGCAAGACGACGUAUAGGAGCUGACGCCUGCCCGGUGCUGGAAGGUUAAGGGGAUCUGUUAGAGCAAUCGAAGCAGUGAACUUAAGCCCCAGUAAACGGCGGCCGUAACAAUAACGGUCCUAAGGUAGCGAAAUUCCUUGUCGGGUAAGUUCCGACCCGCACGAAAGGCGUAACGAUUUGGGCACUGUCUCAACAAUAGACUCGGUGAAAUUGUAAUCCCGGUGAAGAUGCCGGGUACCUGCGACAGGACGGAAAGACCCCAUGGAGCUUUACUGUAGCUUGACGUUGGGUCUUGGUACUACAUGUACAGGAUAGGUGGGAGACUAUGAAGCAUGGACGCCAGUCUGUGUGGAGUCAUCCUUGGGAUACCACCCUUGUAGUACUGGGAUCCUAACCAUAGGCCUUGAAUCAGGUCUUGGAACACCGUCAGGUGGGCAGUUUGACUGGGGCGGUCGCCUCCUAAAAAGUAACGGAGGCGCUCAAAGGUUUCCUCAGUACGGUCGGAAAUCGUGCGAAGAGUGUAAAGGCAAAAGGAAGCUUGAUUGCAAGACAUACAGGUCGAGCAAGGACGAAAGUCGGACUUAGUGAUCCGGUGGUACCGCAUGGAAGGGCCAUCGCUCAACGGAUAAAAGCUACCCUGGGGAUAACAGGCUUAUCUCCCCCAAGAGUCCACAUCGACGGGGAGGUUUGGCACCUUGAUGUCGGCUCAUCACAUCCUGGGGCUGUAGUAGGUCCCAAGGGUUGGGCUGUUCGCCCAUUAAAGUGGUACGCGAGCUGGGCUCAGAACGUCGUGAGACAGUUCGGUCCCUAUCCGUCGCAGGCGUAGGAAAUUUGAGAAGACCUGUCCUUAGUACGAGAGGACCGGGAUGGACGUACCUCUGGUGUACCAGUUGUUCUGCCAAGGGCAUGGCUGGGUAGCUAUGUACGGAAUGGAUAAGCGCUGAAAGCAUCUAAGCGCGAAGCCAACUUCAAGAUAAGAUUUCCCACCGCAAGGGUAAGACCCCAGGAAGACUACCUGGUUGAUAGGUCGAAGGUGUAAGUGCAGUAAUGUAUUUAGCUUAUCGAUACUAAUAGGUCGAGGACUUGACCG